AUGCCUUAGUACGGCGAGUGAAGCGGCAAAAGCUCAAAUUUGAAAUCUGGUACCUUCGGUGCCCGAGUUGUAAUUUGGAGAGGGCAACUUUGGGGCCGUUCCUUGUCUAUGUUCCUUGGAACAGGACGUCAUAGAGGGUGAGAAUCCCGUGUGGCGAGGAGUGCGGUUCUUUGUAAAGUGCCUUCGAAGAGUCGAGUUGUUUGGGAAUGCAGCUCUAAGUGGGUGGUAAAUUCCAUCUAAAGCUAAAUAUUGGCGAGAGACCGAUAGCGAACAAGUACAGUGAUGGAAAGAUGAAAAGAACUUUGAAAAGAGAGUGAAAAAGUACGUGAAAUUGUUGAAAGGGAAGGGCAUUUGAUCAGACAUGGUGUUUUGUGCCCUCUGCUCCUUGUGGGUAGGGGAAUCUCGCAUUUCACUGGGCCAGCAUCAGUUUUGGUGGCAGGAUAAAUCCAUAGGAAUGUAGCUUGCCUCGGUAAGUAUUAUAGCCUGUGGGAAUACUGCCAGCUGGGACUGAGGACUGCGACGUAAGUCAAGGAUGCUGGCAUAAUGGUUAUAUGCCGCCCGUCUUGAAAC
rnacentral:rRNA from 1 species